UACGUAGGUGGCGAGCGUUGUCCGGAUUUACUGGGCGUAAAGGGAGCGUAGGCGGACUUUUAAGUGAGAUGUGAAAUACUCGGGCUCAACUUGAGUGCUGCAUUUCAAACUGGAAGUCUAGAGUGCAGGAGAGGAGAAUGGAAUUCCUAGUGUAGCGGUGAAAUGCGUAGAGAUUAGGAAGAACACCAGUGGCGAAGGCGAAUUGCUGGACAGUAACUGACGCUGAGGCGCGAAAGCGUGGGGAGCAAACAGG
rnacentral:rRNA from 1 species